rnacentral:lncRNA from 1 species
GCCUGUACACAAGACCAGCAACUGAACCAUGACUAUCAGCAUCAUCAGUCACGGAUUCAUGUGUAAACUCUCUCGCAUCUCCAUCUUCAAUUAUUUCUGGGAAAUCAGCAUAAUGAGAGCCUUGCCAAACUUUCUUGUCCGUCAAGGUUAGAGCUUCGCUGGAAGAGUUCCAAAGCUUGCCGUUUGUGGUUUGUUGAGCAUUUUUCUGAGAAGCAGCCAUGGUAGCUAUCUAUGUGCUAUGGUUUGGUUGUGUUAUGCUUCAAAUAUUGCAAUACACACCUACUUAUAUACUAGUGUACACCAUGCAUGCAUUGUCCAUAACAACAAUGUUUAUGCGCAUGAAAUUUGUAGACUGCAUUCAUAUCAAAACUUUUUUUUAUUCGUAUUCUUGAUGUGUCUUUUCACUUCUAAGUAAACAUUCUUUUCAAUUAAAGAAAUAUAUUUUAACGUAUUUGAAUUUUUUGAUAAAUUAUUUUUAAGUAUAUAAUUUUUGUAUUAUAAUUAACAAUAUAAAGGGUAAACCCCUUCCAAUGUGACCUAAAUUAUUAUUAAGUUUACAUUUUCUCACUCAAUUUUAUAAAGUUACAACAUGAUCAUUAUAUUAUUCAAAAAAUUUUAUUCUAAGUCAUUGAGCUAUUAAAAUUGUUGUGGUAUGGCCUUCUCUAUUCACACUACUUGUAUCUAUCGAAAGCUCUCAUUUCCCUUCUCUUCUACAAUUCACUUUUUUUUUCUUGAAAUAAGUUUGCACAUCUCAAUCUGUGAACCAAAAUUCAAAUAGCUUUUUUCUUCGAUCAUUGACAUUGAUCGUUAGAUCGACUUGGAUCUAAAAUAUGUUCUCUUACUUGUCAAUGGGUCUUGAUCCACCGUAGCGAUCGUCGAAUCAUCAUUUGAAGCUUGCUAGCCGGACUUUUAAAAUAAAUCUUAACAGCCUAGUGUCUUCACUAAAAACUUUCGAAUAGUUGAGUGACUUAAAUGAAAAUUUUCAAAUAGUUUAGUGACAAUUUUAUAACUUUUUAAAAUUGAAUAACCAAAAUAUAAAUUUACUAAUAAUUUAGUAACCUUAAAUGUAAUUUACCCUAAUAUAAAAGUAUAAUUGUUAGGUACCAAGAUUAAACCCACAUCAUAUAAUUAAAUAAAUAAAUUUCAACGGAUGUAUUAUAUAAAAAAUUAGUACAUAAUAAUAAGUGUCAUCUCUAAAUUAAAAAUUUCCAUCAUAUGAAUUUGAAUUUCUAAAAUAUCCUUUAAUCUUAAUUAUAUAUUUUUAAACAAAUAUUUUUAAGAAUUGUUCAAAUAAUUUCUUCUACUAACUAGUGUCAGUUGCUAGUGCUUACAAAACUCCAUGUCCACCAUAUGAAUCUUGUGUAGAUUUAUAUAUUAAUUAUAUAUUAUGCCACAUUUGUUACGUGGAAGAUUGAAAAAAAUAUAGAUAUUAUGGAAGCAUUUUAAAAAAACUAAUAUUAAAUUUUGUUACGUUGAUGAUACGUAAUAAUCUUGAGAUAUAUUUUAUAUUGAUAUUGUCUUCGAGUGAAUUUUAAGUGUAAUUUAACUUAAAAUCUUAUAUGUUGUACCAUCUACUGACUCUUUCAUUAAACUUUGAAUCCCUUUGAAAAAAGAGAGUCUAACCCAUAUUUUAUAAUAACUAAUAAACAUGGAUAUUUCCUUUUACUAUGGGCUUUAAGUAAAUGGUUUUUAAAAGAUAAAAGUAAUUUAAUUAAUUGAUUUUGAGUAUCAAAUUAUUUCAAAUAAAUAAUUGAUUGGACCACUAGAGGUUCUUCUGCAUUGUUACGAUGUUUGCUUUUCCGUGAUUCUAGUGUUUAGCAUUGUCUGAUGUUUCUCCUGUAUGUGUUGGAAUAUUUUUAAUUAAUUGAAAGAGUCUAAUUAAUUAAAAGUUAUAUUUUUUUUGUUAUUAAUAAAGAACCAUAACUAUUUCAAUAAUAUUAUUUGAAUCGAGAGAUAUUAAAUAAAUAAUUAUUUUUUUAAAGAUAUUGAAAUAUGUCUCUAUGAAAAGACUUGUAAUUUUUAUAGAUAGGAAUGAAAUUUUAUUUGGUAAUCAUACCAACAAGUUCUAAAAAUUAUUUCUAUUUUUCCUCCAUCUUCUAAUAUCAUUGGAUAAUUCUAUAAAGAGUUACUGCAAAAAUUCUUUAUAGAAAUUGAUUUUCUUGUUAUACAUUGCUCAGUACUUAGUAGACUAUUUUCGUCAGUGCAAAACGCAAAUAGUCAUCGGGCUUCAUCUGCUUGAAACUUAUUUGCCUACCAACUAUAGGUGGGGGGCAAAUAGAACCUUAAAGAUAGUGGCCUGAUACACACCUUGGAGCCUUGUCCUAUUUUUUUUUUCUAUUUGUUUAUUGUUCAUGUUCCGUUCGUGUGUUCGAGAUUUUCCUCACCUAAGAUUUGUACAAACACUUUCAAGGUUCUAUUUUCAUGAUGAUUACUACAACACAUAAAAGUAGAACACUAAGGGAGUUGGCUUCCAACUUUGUCAACCUUGAUCGAUUUGAUGGUGUCAAUUUUAGACGGUGGCAGAAAAAGGUACACUUCUUAUUAUCAACUUUGAUCGCCUAUGUUUUGGAUGCUCUAAGACCAUAAGAGAAUGAAAAUAAAUCCAUUGCUACAACCCGAGAAAGGUGAAAAUGGGACAAUGCUGAUUACAUAUGCAUAGGCUACAUAUUAAAUGAUUUAUUCGAUGGUUUGUUCGACACCUACCAAAAUGAGGUCAUCACUAAGGAAUUAUGGCACAAAUUGGAGACAAGAUACAUGACCUAUGAUGCUACAAGUAAGAAAUUUCUUGUUAUUCAUUUCAAUAAUUAUCAAAUGAUUGAUGGUCGUUUUGUUAUGAAAUAAUUUCGUGAUAUUGAAAAAAAGCUGAAUCAAUUUAAGGAAUAUGAUAUGAAAAUGGAUGAAAUGAUUGUUGUAUCCUCCAUAAUAGACAAACUUCCUUCAUCAUGGAAAGACAUAAGAAAGAGGAAAUAUAUCUUGAAGAUUUGGCAAUUCAUCUUCGUAUUGAAGAAGAAUAUUGAAAGUAAGAUCAGAACCUAGAUUCUGAAAAUGCCAAAGUGCAUAUUACGGAGAAAGUACACACUACUAAACCAUCCAAGAGAAAGUUCAUACAGAUUGUUGAAGCACUUAAGUUCAAAACAAAACAAAAGGGCUCCUGUUACCAUUGUGGCAAGCUGGGACAUUUCAAGAAUGAAUGUCGAUUCUUAAAGAAGAAAUCUUCUUUUAAGGUUGAUAAUAAAGAAAAGUUCGUUGCCAUGAUUUCUGAAAUUAAUAUGGUACAAGAUGAUAAAGUAUGGUGGAUUGAUACUGGAGCAACGAAACAUGUGUGAAAAGAUAAAAACAUGUUCACAAAGUUCACACAAUGUGAAUAUGGCAAUGACUUAUACAUGAGAAAUUCUUCCAUCGUAACAACCAAAGGCAAAGGGUUUGUUGAACUAUAAUUCACUUUUGGAAAGGUUUUAAUCUUGAAAGGUGUAUAUUAUGUACCAGAAGUUAGGAAGAAUUUAGUGUCUGAAAGUCUAUUGAAUAAGUUUGGUUUCAAUCUUAUUUUUGAGGUAGAUAAGUUUAUUCUGUCUAAGGGAGGAAUUUCUGUAAGGGUAGGGUAUAUGUAUGAUGGUAUGUUCAAACUCAAGAUUAUUUUUUUUGCUCAAUCAUUAUCAAUUAUAGAAAAAGGCCAUGGAGAAUCCAAGUCUGUCCAGUCUCAAAAACUUGCAUCAUACAAUAAACUCUACCAAAGCCAAUAAAACCAACUCUGCAAAAUCCCCCAAAACUGAAUACAUAGUAGCAAAAAUAGAACAACUAAUCAAACAAAGACCGAUACUCCCAUUCUCUUCAACACUCUCACCACUAUGCUUUAAAGGUAUCCGAAUGCAUAACCCCUGCUAUUGCCAGUGCAAAAGCCAUUUCGUUCCCCAUAUGUUCUACUUUCCCAAAUGACAAAUAUGAUCUUCUCUCAAUUUCAGCAAAAAAAAUAGUUUAACUUUCCCACUCUUGACUGUGUUUAAGAAAGCCAUUUAAACACCACAUUGGAACCAACUUCAAUCAAUAAUGGACAACAAGUUGCCCAUCCCAUACCUUCAUAUAACUCAAGCGCGACUCCAAUUGACUUCAAUUCUGCCAAUUUAGCAUCUUUUGCCUCGCUCGGACCCGAGAAUAAUGCUCGCGCCACUCCAUCUUCAUCUCUCAAUACCCCUCCACCUCCAACUUUGGCUUCGAACACUACCCCGCAUACGUUAAAUUUCAACCAACCCCUUGGAGGAAACCGCCAACUCAUCUCCGAGCCCUUAAAGUUUUGUUAUAAGACCUACAUUUUAAAGGGUCAAACCACCAAAAACUUUCAGUUAAAAUGACUUCAUUAUACACCGCCCUUACCCACAUCAUUGCUCUCAUCUUCGAGUGGAAAAUCAUCGUAUCCAUUGGUAUCAUUUUUUGAUUGAACACCACCUUAUUUCUUGCCAGUCAAAUUGACCAACAUGUAGCUGAAAUUGAGAUCAACCAUAAAAUUUUCAUAACCCCUAAUAGAUAUACAUUAUUACACAAUUUAAAGAAUUCAAGAAAACCCUCCACGGGUUCCCAUCUCAUCUCCCACCAGUUAAAGAUUCUCCUCCAAAAUCCUUCAACAAAUUUACAUUUAAAACACAAAUGAUCAACUCUUUCCAACUCUUUACCGCACCAUGGACAUUUCUUUCUCAUUUGCUGGAACUGAAAGCCUCGCCUUUCCAAGAACUCUAUUGUGGGAAAUCUUCCUAAUGCCAGCAUCUAAAGAAAACUUCUUACCCUCGGUGGCACCUUCAUCUUCUAAAUUUUGUUGAAUUCAAAACUUAAACCCUCCGCCCCCUUCUCCGUCAAUAAAUUUGGCAUUCUCUUUAUCGAAAAUUCUCCCUUACUGUAAUGCAGCCAUAUCAAUCAGUCAUCUUUCUCAUGAGCUAACUUUAUUUUUUUUACCUCUUCAAUCAUUUUCUCAAGCAUAUCCACCUCUCUGUUAAGCAGUUUUCUUAUAAAAUAUUCUCCCCACUUUACUUCACUAAAUCCCCUAUUUUUUGUAUACAUUCCCACCCUUCCUUUUUUUUAGUUUUGCCAAGAUUAUUGAUAAGAAUAAAAAUAUUGUUUCUGCUUAUAUGGUUGAAUCUUCUUAUUUAUGGCAUUAUAGAUUAGGUAAUUUGAAUUAUAGAAAAUUCCGUGACAUGCAUAAGUUAGAUUUAAUUUCUAUUUUUAAUAAUAAUAUUGAAAAAUGGAAAGCAUGCAUGUUGACUAAAAUUACUAGAAACCCUUUCCCUAAGGUUAAAAGGAAAACAAAAAUACUUCAUUUGAUACAUAGUGAUUUGUGUGAUGUGCAUAAUACUUCUACAUUAGGUGGAAAGAAAUAUUUUGUUACUUUUAUUGAUGAUUGUUCUUGAUAUUGCUAUGUAUAUUUAUUGUAUUCAAACGAUGAAGCGCUUAUAAAUAUGAAGUUUAACUUCAAUGUGACUAAUUCAUCAAGUGCUUAAGAUCGAAUAGAGGUGGAGAAUACUAUAAUCCAGAUUAUUUUGAAUCCAUUGGGAUUAUCCAUCAAGUUUCAACCCCUUACACACCACAACAUUGAUUGCAUACACAAUUACGGUAUUUAAAUUAGCUCCAUUGUCCAUGGAUUCUACAAGAAAGUUGUGUUGACAUUGAUGAUUUGGUUUAAGCUAUUGGUGAUGUCUGUAUUGUCAAAGCGUCAGAUAGAAUGUAUAACAGAUGCCUUGAUCAUUGCUGAAUUUCACAAAUCCAGCAUGUUUUAAAACUUGGUGGUAGUUGCAGCUACUGGUUAUGUAUCGAGUUGCUGGGAUGCUAGUUAUGUUUUAUUGUGCUGCUGGAAACAUGAUUUGUUGUUGGGAGAUUAUUUGUUGUCAGAUUUUCUAUGUUAUUGUUAGUAUAUUAAAUUAGUAUAUUGCUAAUUUAAUUAGUCGAAAUUGUCAAAGUUUGUUAGAAUUAACAAACUAUAGUUUAGUUUGUUAAUAGUCUGUUUAGUCAGUUUUCUUCUCUUGUAAUUUGUAUAAAUACAUUUAUUGAAUGAAUGAAAAUACAAGUAAAAUUUUACCAAAUACACAAUUUCCACAUGGUAUCAGACGUUUAAAGAUUCUUCCGCAUUUUCUCUGCUUUUCUGCAUUUUCUUGGCAUUUUCCUGGAUUCUUUUUCCAUUAUGCCUGUUAAUUCAUCAACGAUUGAGCUUUCUGAUCCUACAAUUCCUAUUUCCAGUCCUUAUUAUUUGCAUCCAAAUGAAAAUCCUUCGCUUAUACUUGUUUCACCAGCUCUUAAUAGUUCCAACUAUCAUUCUUGGUCUCGUGCAAUGCGUCUUGCACUUCUCUCGAAGAACAAGCUUCAGUUUGUUGAUGGAAGCAUUACAGUGCCAUCUGACACUGAUUCUCUUUAUCCUGCUUGGGAACGAUGUAACACCAUGGUAAUUUCUUGGCUUAAUCACUCUAUCAGUUCUUUCAUCUUUAGCAGUGUUCUUUGGGUUAAUACUGCAUUUGAUAUAUGGAAUGAUCUUCGAGAACGAUUUUCUCAAGGUGAUGUUUAUCAAAUCUCUGAUUUGCAAGAUGAGAUUUCAUCUUUUAAGCAAGAUGAUCAGUCAGUUACAGACUAUUUUACUGAACUCAAGAUUCUCUGGGAUGAGUUGUUACAUUUUAGGCCUCUUCCUCGCUGUUCUUGCAAUACACCUUGUUCUUGUGGUGUUUUGACUACUAUCAAGCGUUAUCAUGAUGAUGACUAUGUGAUUCGCUUUCUUAAAGGUCUUAAUGAUAAAUUUACUGGUGCGCGAUCUCAGAUUAUGCUUUUAGAUCCUUUGCCAUCCAUUAAUAAGGCUUUUUCUAUGGUGAUUCAACAAGAAAGACAGUUCAAUACUGGAAAUUCAAAGGUGUUUGUUAAUAAUCUGUCUUCCUCUGAUAAUACCUCUAGUGUGAAUGCUGUUACUAAGCGAUUUGAUGCUUCUUCUUCAACUGUUGACAAAAGAUGGUGUAUUUUCUAUCAAAGGCCUCGUCAUACAAUUGAAACAUGUUUUCACAAGAAUGGUUAUAAUAAUGGAUACAGGGCAAAGGGUCAGGCUCGUGUCAACAAUGUUUAUUCUGAUGAUGUUGCUGAGCCUCCACCUACUUCAACACUAAGUGAUUCCUCAUCUAAUAAUUCUGGUUUUACUUUGACUCAAGAGCAAUAUUCUCAGCUUCUUGCUUUACUCAAACCAUCACCCUCUCCAUCCAUUCCCUCUUCUACCUCUUUAACCAACAAUGUUAUCCGUGACUCUCACUUUACUCUUGCUACCACUGAAGGUAUAUCUUUAACUCCUUUUUGGAUCAUUGAUACUAGUGCUACUGAUCAUAUUACCUAUUCUUUAUCAUCUUUUGCCUCAUAUAAACAUAUUAAACCCAUCCUUGUUACUUUACCUAAUGGUACCAAACUUGAAGCAUGUAUAUCUGGUACUGUUAUUUUUCAUGAACAUUUAUGUUUACAUGAUGUUCUUUAUAUUCCAGCUUUUACCUUCCAUUUGCUUUCUGUAACCAAACUUACUACUACUUUGCCAUGUUGUUUUACCUUUCAUUCUACUGUUUGCAAGAUACAGGCUCUCCCAUCCUGGAAGAUGAUUGGUACAGCUAGAGCAUAUCGAGGUCUUUAUCUACUUGACUAUCCAUCUCAAACUUUUACCCUUUCUACUACAACCUUAACUGCUACUCCUACUACAGAUGUAUGGCAUUCUCGUCUUGGUCAUCUUUCAGACUCGAGAAUAAAACUUCUUUUACCAGAAAUACCUACUUUACAAUUUUUUGAUAAUUCAGCUUGUAAAACGUGUCACUUGGCAAGGCACAAAAAGCUUUCUUUUCCUGUAAGCAAUUCUGUUUCAAUAAAGAGAUUUGAUCUCAUACAUGCUGAUAUUUGGGGCCCUAAUCCUCUUGUUUCUAUUAAUGGCCAUAAAUAUUUCUUGAAAAUUGUUGAUGAUUACAGCCGUUAUACCUGGCUUAUUUUUUAAAAAACAAAGUCUGAAGUUCGAGAACAUAUUCAAAAUUUCUUCCAAAUGGUUGAGACCCAAUUUUCAGCCAAAAUUAAAGUGAUUCGAUCUGAUAAUGGUUCUAAAUUUGCUAUGCCUUCUUUUUAUGCUUCUAAAGGAACCAUACAUCAAACAUCUUGUGUGGAAACACCACAACAAAAUGGCUUGGUGGAACGAAAACAUCAACAUAUUUUAAAUGUUGCUCGAGCCCUCUUGUUUCAUUCUCAUACACCUCAAUAUUUCUAGGGAUAUUCAGUCUUACAUGUUGUCUAUCUCAUAAAUAGAACACCUACACCUCUCCUUUCCAACUUACACCUUAUGAAAAGUUUCACCAAACCAAACCAGAUUACUUUAUUCUAAAAGUUUUUGGUUGUUUGACUUAUGCAUCUACUUUAACAGCUCAUAGGCAUAAAUUUGAUUCUCGUUCUCGAACAUGUAUUUUUCUUGGCCUUUCACCUACAGUUAAAGGUUAUGUACUUUUUGACUUAGAUACCAAAAUCAUUUUCAUCUCUCGAAAUGUAACCUUUCAUGAACACCAUUUUCCAUUUCUUCACAGUUCCUUGUCUCAUUCAUCACCUUCAUUACCAGUUUUAACUUCCUCUCCUACCUAUGAUGAACCUAUAUCAGAUUCAUCUUCUUCUAUUGAAACACCAUCACCACCUACAAAUACUGAACCACAUAUUGAACCACCACCCACAAAUACUGAACCACAUGAUGAACCACAUAUUGAACCACCAACUCCAAAUGUAACCCGUCCUACAAGAAACAGACAACCACCUCGUUAUUUGAAUGAUUAUCAAUGCUCUGCUCUGCAGGCUGGUACCAAUCUUCUCCCAGGUAAUAAUUACUCUCUUAGUCAAACUUUUUUCCUAUUCAAACCUUUCAGCUACACAUUUACACUAUACUUUAGCCAUUACUGCCACUACUGAACCAAAAACAUACACACAAGCCGUAAAACAUUUACAUUGGCGAGAGGCAAUGCAAGCUGAGAUUAAUGCUCUUGAACAAACUAAGACCUGGAUUAUUACUGAGUUACCACCUGGUAAGCAAGCAAUUGGUUGCAAAUGGGUUUUUCGAGUCAAACAUAAGACUGAUGGCUCAAUUGAGCGAUACAAAGCUCGCCUGGUUGCUAAGGGAUACACACAACGAGAAUGUGUUAAUUAUUUUGACACUUUCUCUCCGGUUGCAAAGAUUACUACUGUGCGACUUCUUCUUGCUUUAGCUGCAUCUCAGAAUUGGUUUCUCUAGCAGUUAGAUGCCAAUAAUGCGUUCUUACAUGGUGAAUUGAAUGAGGAAGUUUACAUGAAGUUGCCCCCUGGAUUUGAAGGAUCAGACAAGAGCAAAGUCUGCAAAUUACAAAAAUCUCUAUAUGGCUUAAAACAAGCUAGCAGACAGUGGUUCUCCAAACUUACAGCUUCUCUUUUAUCCCUUGGCUACAAACAAUCCUCCUCUGAUCAUUCUCUCUUUGUCAAAAAGGAAAAUGAUUCUUUUACAGCCUUGCUUGUUUAUGUUGAUGAUAUGAUAUUGGCUGGUAAUAAUCAACAUGAAAUUUCUACAGUUAAGAGUUUUCUAGAUCAGGCAUUUAAAAUCAAAGAUCUUGGUGAGCUUAAGUAUUUUCUUGGUCUCGAGAUUGCAAGGUCAACUGAAGGAAUUCAUUUAUCUCAAAGGAAGUAUUGUCUUGAGAUUUUGACUGAUAGUGGCUUCAUGGAAUGUAAACCAGCAAAAAAUCCAAUGGAAACCAAAUCAACCUCAAAAUUGUGAAGUGAUGACAGUGAAUUACUUGCUGAUAAUACACUCUAUAGACAGCUGGUUGGUCGACUCAUUUAUCUUACAUCAACACGACCAGACAUUUCAUUUGCAGUUCAGCAGCUAAGUCAAUUCUUGGAUAAACCAACUGUGUUGCAUCUUCAGGCAGCUCAUCAUGUAUUGCGCUACUUAAAGAACUCUCCUAGUUCUGGAAUAUUUUUCUCAGCAACUUCUUCUUUGCUACUUCGAGGCUUUAGUGAUUCUGAUUGGGCUGGUUGUCCAGAAACCAGACGAUCUAUAAGUGGUUUUUGUAUUUUUCUUGGUGACUCCCUUAUUAGUUGGAAAGCAAAGAAGCAAACCACAGUGUCUCGCUCAUCCUCUGAAGCUGAGUAUCGAGCAUUAGCAGCAGCAGCUUGUGAAAUUCAAUGGUUGCACUAUCUACUUGAUGAUCUUCAUCAACCAGUUUCUUCAUCAACAAGAUUGUAUUGUGAUAAUAAUUCUACUUUACAGAUAGCUGCUAAUCCAACAUUCCAUGAAAGAACAAAACACAUCGAGAUUGAUUGUCAUAUUGUAAGCGAGAAAGUUUCAACUGGUGUGAUACAAUUGUUGCCUUGUUCUUCUAAAGAUCAGUUGGCUGACAUGUUUACCAAAUCCUUGGCUACUGCUCCAUUUCGAGAAAAUUUGUUCAAGCUAGGCAUGUUGAAUAUACAUUCUCUAGCUUGAGGGGGGAUGUUAGUAUAUUAAAUUAGUAUAUUGCUAAUUUAAUUAGUCGAAAUAGUCAAAGUUUGUUAGAAUUAACAAACUAUAGUUUAGUUUGUUAAUAGUCAGUUUAGUCAGUUUUCUUCUUUUGUAAUUUGUAUAAACACAUUCAUUGAAUGAAUGAAAAUACAAGUAAAAUUUUACCAAAUACACAAUUUCCACAGUUAUAGUUACUGGUUUGUAGUUUGAUGAUUCGAUGGAUGGAUGCGGAAGUUGGAGAAAACAUAAACUAUAAACUGAGUCAAAAGAUAAAAUAGUAAAGGCCAUUCUGUUUUAUUUUUCCAUAAUAUUAUACAAAUAGUCAACCAUGUAUAUAUACGUGGCACUGACAUGAUUGUGAAGGCCUACACACUUUCUAUUAGUUGAACCGGCUAUCAAAAUUUUUUACUAUAAUAGUAGUACAGGUAAUGCAGCAGCAGGAAGCACAUUAUUAUUUAAUUUUGAUAGCCUGAAUUACCAGCAUAGCUUGAUGAAGAAGCAAAGGCAGUUAGGCCUCUAACUCAAAUGAUGCCUUCAUUGUGGGUGAACGGCUCCCGGGAUCAAUUUCAACAGAUGCAAUAUACCCAAACUUUGUAACUUUAAAUUUUGGUUUUCCUCUUUUCUCAAGGUUGGUUUUGAUUUGCCCCCAGUGAAUAGGUUGCCUUUGGAUAUCAGUAUAGACCUGCAGCAUGCAUGCAAUUAAUCAUAGCUUAAAUGAUAAUGUAUAAGCAUUCUAACUAGUUAAUUAAUGAUAAGAUUGAAUCGAAUGUAAUAUAUACCUUGCUGUUCUCAUCUAGUGGGUUGCUCCAGGCAACAACCCACUUAGUUCCAUCACGUCGCCUGUACACAAGACCAGCAACUGAACCAUGACUAUCAGCAUCAUCAGUCACUGAUUCAUGUGUAAACUCACUCACAUCUCCAUCUUCAAUUAUUUCUGGGAAUUCCGCGUAAUGAGAGCCUUGCCAAACUUUCUUGUCAGUCAAGGUUAGAGCUUCGCUGGAAGAGUUCCAAAGCUUGCCGUUUGUGGUUUGUUGAGCAUUUUUCUG